AGCUCUCCAUGCUGGCUGUGUGGCCAGCAUACCUCCUGCCUUUUCAACGAUUCCUCUGCCCUGGAUAGAGAGCGGUGUCUCAUAACAGUUUGGAAACUACAAAAGUUUCCCUGGCAGGAUGAAUGAUUGACUCGGCAACAUGUUCUUGCCUUUUGGAGUUGCCCUCCAAUUUUUCCAGGCUUGAUUCUGUAAAUCAUUUCAUCUUGUAAAAAUACUGGGCUGUGAGCACGGAUGAUCUCAAAGAUGAGGAAACAGAAGCUGGGAUAUGUGAGUAAACAUUUCCAAGGUCCUGCAGCUAAUCAAUGGUUGACAACUUCUUUCCUCUGCCUAUGUUGCCAUCCAUGUCAUGGUUUGUGUCAAGACUCUAGGAGAAGUCUACCAUCAGCACCACAGCUACUGUGCACAAAUCCAGAAUGCCAGACUGAAGUCAGAAGGAAAGAGAUGAUGCAGCUCAUUGCUGAUGCUGAGAUCCAACGUCCAGUGCCUGAGUACCCCUGGAUUCUGAGCACUAGGGGCUGGACUGUGGAGACCAUCAGUUCAUAACAUCCUGUCCCUGCUCCCUGCUGUAGAUGACUGAGACCAGAAAGAAGAUUGGAAAAAUCUCCCAUGACCAAGGAAAAUUGUGAAAAAUAUUUCUGAUAUUUUGUCUAUGCAUUUUAUUUUUGAGGGUGUUUUUUAUAUUAGUGUGACUAUUUUGUAUUUCCUACCCUGUUGUAAACUUUUUAAAAAUUGCUCUUACAGUUAUUACUAAGUAUAUGAUUUAAAAUCCCUAAUUAGGGUUCUUAAACAAGGGAGAAGCACUCUCAUACCCCUAGAACAAGAUGAACAAAAGAAGGAGGAAAAAUCUUGACCUCCGUAAGAUCCAGGAUGGCACGUGCAAGGCACUGACACAGCAUCUGCCGGCAUCACUGACUCUCCUGGACCCCAGAAGCCCAGUUCCCCAGGCUCUGAAACCCUGCAGCAAUGAAAAGGAAGCACAGGCAAACCAUAAGGAAGAUAAUUUUUCUACUAAAAAAUAAAUAGAAAUGCAUCCUUAGAGGCAGGUUUCAUGAGGACACAGAGAAUCCGGUUUUGUGUGUGCCUGAUUUCGUUUUUCUGUCAAAGAGAUACAAAACAAUCAACUGAGUUAUCUUGAACUUACAAAGAUUAAAAAUAAUCAAUUCCUGUUACUAUUUUCAAUUUUUCCCCCAUUUUACUUCUUUAGGUAUGAAGAAAUGUAGCCUAUUAAAACCUGGAUUAAUAAAAACCUUUCAUUAACUUUUAGAAGGUGUGUGAUAACGAAAUCAGUGUAUGUCCAAUAACCUUGUCCAGUGACUAUGAAUUCAGGCCAAUUAAUUAGUGAUUCUCAACCUUGG
rnacentral:lncRNA from 1 species